AGUUGCCCAAUGUUUUGGCUUCCGUCUAGGCAGAGAGAAGACUGGCUCACCAAGAAGCUUUAAGCAAACAAAUAUUAGCUUCCUUUAUUUCUCUCUUGUCCUGUUCUAAGGCAGGAAAUUGGGGCAGAAUAACACUCAGGGAUGUCGGCUUUUAAACAUCCUGCUGCUUGUGUGAGCAUUUUCUCAGACUACCUCUUGCUGCAGGACUUCCAAGGAUUGCUGAUGUGUUGUCUGCAAACUGCAAAGCCCUAAGGGCUUGCUGAAAUUUUCUUCUCCUUCCUUUUUUGACUGACAGGGCUGAAAAAGUGAAGAACCUCUCAGCGAUGCAGUCCUGGCCAUAGAUCUUUCAUUUGGGAGGCAGGGGCCUGUUCUCUGGAAUUCUUGUAGACUUUAUUUUUAUGCCUGUGCCUUAUGUGUAUUACUGGAUUAGAGCAAAUGGGAUACAAAGGAACAAAGAACAGGAUGCACUGCUAUCGGAGUUUGCCAAAAAAGGAUGUGCCACUGAUGGAAUCUGAAGAAAUAAGAAGUGGAGACUCGUUUCCCAGAGCAGCCCACAUAGUGAAUGAAACCUCUAGUCCUGGACCAGUGAUAAGACACCAUGAAGUCACAGAGUUCACCACCAUGAGUAAUGUUCCUGAAGAGGAAGUGGCUGUGGCUAAGAAAGAAGAUGUCUGUUUUUCUCAAGACAUAGCACUUCUUUUUGCCAUGGAAGAACAGCUCUGGGGAAGGCUGUCUAAUUCUGUGGAAGGAGAAACUUCUGUGGAACUGGAAAAUGACCAGAGGGAUCCAGAAAAGUGGGGAGGAUUUUCAGAGGGGGAAAGUGAUCCCAAAGUACAGGAGGCCUUUGUGAAGGACAGUAGGGUUCCCCCCUUGAAUUGCCACCAGGGACACCUUAUAGCUAAUGAUGCCUUAAGUAGCUACCAGUCUUCUCUUGACAGUGAAACACCUCUGACACAGAUUCCAAGCCCUUUCAGUGGAGUUUCAAGGGGAGAGAGAGGAGCCCCAGGCCCCACUAUAUGUUGUCAAGAUCUGAACCCUUGUAACUCUUCCUCUGAGAUACAAACUAAAGAAGACUUGAUAUCAGACACAUCUUCUCCUCAGAAGGAAUCAGGCAAUGAGAAUUUCCCAAUGAGUCACAAUAGUUCUUUAUGUUACCAAAAUGCUGUGUCUUUCCAGGCCAGUUCAGACGAACAUUAUUCAAGGGAAAAAAUAUGGAGGAGAGAUGAGAUGCCAUCUAAGACAGAAGAAGUUGAUAAGAUACAGCCCACUUCCUCCACAAAAGAUGCUGAGGUGAAAGAAAGAGAGUUAAAGAAUGCUGAAUCUCCUAUUUACCAGCUGAGCUGUGAAAUUUCAGAAGGAAGGAGGAUAUACUUAAAUGUGCUACAUAGUGACCCUAAUAAAUUUGUUUCACUGCCAGUCUCUAACAAAAUGGAUACUAGUUCAGACACAAAGGACCAAGUGGAAGACUUGGUGCAAAAAAUGCUUAUUUGUGGUAUCCCACAUCUCCAGGAGAAGGAGAAGAACACAGGAUGUGAGAUUCAAUCGCUGGAGGAGACAGUGGGAACAAAGCAUGCUGACAAUCAUACAGAUUAUUGUGGUAAAUCAGAAUCAGCUCAUAAAAAUGGGUCAAAAAAUCUGGAGUCAGAGCUUGCCAUGAUAGAGCAAGGAAGGCAGUUGAGAGACACUGAGCUGAAUGAUCAGAGAGAUCUGGCCUGGAAAGCAGUGGAAAAUGAAACGAGAACAGAACAGGAGAAGCUAGAAUUAAGGUUUAGUGAUCAAGAGGAACAAAACUGGUAUUUGCAAGUAACAGAAACAUCAGGGAAAGGGGUGAUGGAUGAAACAGCCACCUCAUCAACUGCAGUGGACAUCAAUUCACUUUGUAAUUUAGAAAAUAACUCAGGCUUUUCUGAUUCAGUCAAGAGCACUUCUUUGAUUAAAGCCAAAGAAUUUGCUUUUUCUUUCAAGGAACCCUCCUUACCUGGUUUCUCUUCAGAGUCCAUUUGGACAAAAGCUUCUGGCAGUGGUGCAGCAAACUCAAAAGUUACGUCUGUUGUCGGAAUACUCCCUGAAGGUGACAGUCAAAGGGUAGAUCCUUUGAUAUAUCAUGACUUUGGGCAACUGGAAUACUCUGGCACCUGUGCCAAAGAAGUCUCUGUUUGCCCUAAAGGCAAAGAUAGUAAAGAACUCACUGAGGAAGAUAAUUCUGUUGAAAAUAGGUGUAGUGAAAAUGCAGGAGAUGAGGGCAGUGCCUGGAAAGCUGAUGACGAAGUAAUGGCAUCAUCCUGUAGAAAUGAUAUAACAAUUCUUGAUCCAUGUAAGCAUUUACAAUAUUCUCAGACUCUGGAUCACCCUAUUGAUACAGAAAUUAGUGCCACUGCCUCAUCACUGUGGACCAAAACAGCAAGAAGUUUCUCAGAAGAAAAUGCUGGCAAGGGAG
rnacentral:lncRNA from 1 species